CUGACAUCAGGUCCCGGGAGCACCUUCGGAAGCAGCCCUGUGCUCCACUGGGGGUGCUGGAGGCUGCCCCUGCCAGCCCAGAGAGCAGCAAAAAGGAGGCUGAACUGGAGGAUUAGUCUGGUGCCAGCAGAACGUGCAGAGCUCCUCUCCACUGGCUCCUCUCCUGCCCCAAGGCUGGGUCCUGCUGGGUGCAGGAGCCCAGUGUCACAGCUGUGCCAGGCUGUCCCACAGGGCACCUCCAGCCACUGCUCAGGGAGAGCCCUUGCUGUGAAUUUCUCAGGGUUUGUUUUCAAGUACUGUUAAAACCUUUGUGUAAGCAAAGGCUCACAGGUAACUCUGCCUGUGGUGUGAGGGAAAAUCAGGUUAAAAAAAAAAAAAAAAAA